rnacentral:rRNA from 1 species
CCUACGGGUGGCAGCAGUGGGGAAUAUUGGACAAUGGGCGAAAGCCUGAUCCAGCCAUGCCGCGUGUGUGAAGAAGGCCUUCGGGUUGUAAAGCACUUUCAGUGGGGAAGAAAGCCUUGGGGCUAAUACCCUCGAGGAAGGACAUCACCCACAGAAGAAGCACCGGCUAACUCCGUGCCAGCAGCCGCGGUAAUACGGAGGGUGCGAGCGUUAAUCGGAAUUACUGGGCGUAAAGCGCGCGUAGGCGGUCUGAUAAGCCGGUUGUGAAAGCCCCGGGCUCAACCUGGGAACGGCAUCCGGAACUGUCAGGCUAGAGUGCAGAAGAGGAAGGUAGAAUUCCCGGUGUAGCGGUGAAAUGCGUAGAGAUCGGGAGGAAUACCAGUGGCGAAGGCGGCCUUCUGGACUGACACUGACGCUGAGGUGCGAAAGCGUGGGUAGCAAACAGGAUUAGAUACCCUGGUAGUC